AAGCUCGUAGUUGAAUUUCCCGAUCAAUUUGUCUGUCGUGCCUCGGUACGUACUGGCAUUAUUGGUUUCUACCUUCUGAAGAACCUUGAUGUCAUUAAUUUGGUGUCUUGGGGAAUCAGGACUGUUACUUUGAAAAAAUUAGAGUGUUUAAAGCAGGCAUACGCUUGAAUACAUUAGCAUGGAAUAAUGAAAUAGGACGUUUGAUUCUAUUUUGUUGGUUUCUAGGAUCGACGUAAUGAUUAAUAGGGAUAGUUGGGGGCAUUAGUAUUCAAUUGUCAGAGGUGAAAUUCUUGGAUUUAUUGAAGACUAACUACUGCGAAAGCAUUUGCCAAGGAUGUUUUCAUUAAUCAAGAGCGAAAGUUAGGGGAUCGAAGACGAUCAGAUACCGUCGUAGUCUUAACCAUAAACUAUGCCGACUAGGGAUCGGAUGAUGUUAUUUUUAAUGACUCAUUCGGCGCCUUACGGGAAACCAAAGUGUUUGGGUUCCGGGGGGAGUAUGGUCGCAAGGCUGAAACUUAAAGGAAUUGACGGAAGGGCACCACCAGGCGUGGAGCCUGCGGCUUAAUUUGACUCAACACGGGGAAA
rnacentral:rRNA from 1 species